rnacentral:rRNA from 1 species
GACGAACGCUGGCGGCGUGCUUAACACAUGCAAGUCGAACGGAAAGGCCCUGCUUUUGUGGGGUGCUCGAGUGGCGAACGGGUGAGUAACACGUGAGUAACCUGCCCUUGACUUUGGGAUAACUUCAGGAAACUGGGGCUAAUACCGGAUAGGAGCUCCUGCUGCAUGGUGGGGGUUGGAAAAUUUCGGCGGUUGGGGAUGGACUCGCGGCUUAUCAGCUUGUUGGUGGGGUAGUGGCUUACCAAGGCUUUGACGGGUAGCCGGCCUGGGAGGGUGACCGGCCACAUUGGGACUGAGAUACGGCCCAGACUCCUACGGGAGGCAGCAGUGGGGAAUAUUGCACAAUGGGCGGAAGCCUGAUGCAGCAACGCCGCGUGCGGGAUGACGGCCUUCGGGUUGUAAACCGCUUUCGCCUGUGACGAAGCGUGAGUGACGGUAAUGGGUAAAGAAGCACCGGCUAACUACGUG